UACUCUUUUUGCUAAAUGUUUCACUUCUUCUUAGCUGUCUUUGCCUUUGAAUUGUCUGAUUUUGUUAACUGUUUCUAAAGAAGCAGCUUCAGAAAAUGUCCAUUUAAAGCAGUGUAUGCUUCAGUAGAAAUGAGGAAAAGCAGGAAUGUGUCCUGAUUAUGUGUCGUAGGUUUGACAUCAGCACGCAAAAAAUGAGAUCCUAAGAGCUAGUCUAGUCCAUGAGGGCAAGAAAUGAGAAGGAACUGAACAGAAAGACUGAAAUACCACAGUGAUUGUAAGAUGCAGUGAGACCAAUUUAGUGACAAUGUAAAGCUUGCAUUAAAAUGUUGGAGCUGCUUGGAAAGACAAAACGUGUAUUAAAAGAUUAGAGUUAAAA